AUUGAUUCAGUUCGACUCGUAUGCCGUGAAAAAGAAACGAAAAGAAAAAUGUAGUUUUCGGUUUGAAACCGAAUCAACCAGUUACACAACCCUUGUUUAGAUCGUACUUUGUAUUUUUGAAAUCGGUAAUCAAAUCGUCCCGCGUUUCUUUCAUGUUGUUCGAUGCAGCGGCACACUUGGAAAUUGAAAGUAUUAAACGAACGACAUUGUCUUCCGCUUUUUUUUUUUUGAACGUCACACUUGGUCGUUCGACGACGGUCCAAAACGACGUUGUGAAUGAGUAUUUUUAUUUUUCUCUUUCAGCGCUUCUUGACUUGGCAGAAUGUUGGAAACUAAAGCAGCUUGCAUUUGAAACAACAAAAACGAGGCGGCAAAGAGAAAUUACGGGUUUUAGGUUUGGACUUCUCCAAGCUGGAACUAGAAGUAGAUUUCAUCAUCUUCUUACUUCUGGUAUGGCUGCCUCUGAAGCUCCAUCGAUGGCAUCAUCGAUAUGCAAUGCAAGCAAGGUACACUGAUCUUUGUAACAAUUCUUUUCCUCUAACUGGAUAUCUUCAAUACCGCUACAUAUGCGUCAAACAAUACAUUUUUUUAUUGUGAUUGAUGUGAUGCAUAAUUCGAAUAAUUGUUGAUCAAUGUUCUUACUUGCCUGAUCAUCAGUUUUCACUCUCUUGAAAUGUUGACGAUCACCUCUGUCUUCCUCCAUUUGAAUUGAUGUUAUCAUGGACGAUUCGCUUGACGAUUCGCUUGAUUUUUUUUUUUUUCAAAUGUUUGUAAGGAGUCCUUAUAUUUGAGAUAAUCCAAAUUAAAAGAAAAACAAAGAUUAAUAUUUGCUAAUUUUGCUUGGAUUGGUCUUUUGUAUAGUUAGAUCCGAGAGUUCAACAUUUGAGAGUUAUUUUUAUGAUUUUGGAUCCGGCAAAACUUAUUAGCGGCUGAUAUUUGUUUGUUAAUCUGGAAAGUUUAUGGUUCUACAACCAUUUUGCUUUCCUCCAUGUCUUUAACAUCUUAUUUGGUGGAAUAGGAAUAACUGCUUGUUUUUAACAUUUGAUGAGGAUUGGAGAAAUGGUUUGCAAAUAUAAAUUCAUGUCAAUUUCAUUGUCUUCAUUACAAUACCAAACUAAUCAAACUACUUUUGUUGCUAUUAAGAUGCUGUAGACAUGAAAUUGAAGUUCUCAAUUUCAUAGUCAUUAUUCCAAUACCAAACUAUUGUUGCCAUUAGGAUGUUGUAGACAUCAAAUUGAAGUUCUCAUUUACUUCUUCUUAGUUUCAUGGUACUGAAAGGUUAAAGUAUGGAGUUUCAAGCUUUAAACUCCUUGAAAAUGGCAUGGUUGUGACAUUUGGUUUUCACUGUCAAAUUGUAAAAGAACAGAGGCAAAAACAUAAACUUUAAAAUAUGACCAAUUGUUUCAAGCUUUCAACUUAACUCUCUUCUUUUAGCUUUGUUCUCAUGUCUAAAGAUAUGGAUUGGAAAUCAAAUUUGAUGCUUCUUUGUGCUGAAUAUGCUUUCUGUAACCCAAGUUAUUGGACUGUAUUAGUAGAGCGCAUAUCUCUUCCCAAAUCCACCUUCACAUUGAGCCCUCAAAUCCCGCUUCUUGGUAGACUCAAACAAGGCCCAAAAGCUAAUGCUUUUAAUUGUUACUCUUUCUAGGAGAUAAUGAAAAAAGUUGAGUUGUAGGCUUACUUAAUAUAUUUGCAGAACUUCGAAAAACCGCUCUCAUUUCUCUGUGACUGAAUUACAUUGUGUGGAGAUUGUAAGAAUGAACUAGCCGCUUUAAAAUUGUAUGGGCCAAAACAUACUGUUAUCUAAUUUUUUUAGCAGUUCAUUAAUAUUGGCUAAUGUCUGGAGCUGAUUUAGCUGUUCGUUUUAGAUCUUUUUUGGAUCCAGAUAAAUAGCAAAAAGUGCAUAAAUAGGUAACUUUGGGAUUCCCUCCCCCUGCUAUCUCAUCUAUUCAUGGUGACAUUUCCAGAGUUAUUUUUGCCACAGUUUAGGGCUUGUUCUUUUGUUUGUUUUGUUGUUUCUUCAUCUUGAUUUACCCAAAACAAAAAGAAAGAUAAAUGGUAAUAAACCUAUAUCGACUUCUCAGUGGUGCAGUCUUAUAUUUUUUGUAUCAGUAGUUGGAAAAAUAAAAAGCAUGUCGGUACACCUAGUAUCCACCACUUGAAUUGAUAGCCAACUACUUUUGUUUCUUAUUAAUCAAUGUUUAUUUUUUAUUUUUUGAACUUUUUUCAUUGCUGAUUCCGUUAAUAGUUGAUAGUAUGCAUUAUGGUUCUCAAAUAACUGAGUAUAAAAGUGUGUUGUAUGGUAACUGUUGUCAAAUUUCUCAAUCAAUUAAACAAGUGGGUGUACUUGUUAAUUGUUUGAAUGUUGUGAUCAAUUCACUGGUCCUUUCAAAAUAUAUACAAAAAAAUAAUAAUAAAUAUUUUGAAAACUAAUUAUAUGACUAUUUAGAUUAUAUCUAUUGCGACGUAAGAGCACAAUGAUCUAGCAGAAUGAGCCGAGGUCUAAACCUGUGCAAAUAAAAAGUUUUAUCUUCAUCAUGAAUGAAAUGGAUUUGUUUUGAUUUCUCAGGUAAUUUAAGUAAGUAAGGAACCUAUAGGGUGUGCGCUGAGAGAAGCAUUUGAAACUCAAAUUAAAACUUGAAUCUGUUCAGGAUAGAAGACAACUAGCCAAAAUUUCAUACUGGAAAUGUUCAAAUUAAACUGGAAAACCUUUCUGUGCUUGAAAUGGAUAUUGGUCCGAUACCUUGAAAUAGAUUGAGUUAUGGGACGAUGGCAGCGAUGGGUUUAGUUUGAGGUACAAUGGCUCAUUAGAGAGUACCUGCAAAUCUCUUGACUCAAAACUUUAAUUGGAUUCUGUAUAUACUCUUUUAUUAACUUACUGUUUUUGAAUACGCAGCUUUUGGUGGAACAACCACCUUUAAAAACAAGGAAAUAUGGAAAAUAAAGUGGGAAAAGUGGAGGCAUAAUAACCUCGUACAACUUUGAAAUAAAAAGCUACCAACAAAACAGAAGAAUAGGAACAUCGAUGGAUCUGUCAGUUAAAGUUGUCAACCGAUCAGGUGCAUUGACUUAGACUAGAUUUCCCAUGUGUGAAUCUCUUUUAAACUGAUGGAGUAUCUCGUGUACUAGCAGAUGCAUAACUGUGCAGCAUCUACACCCACCUGUAGUUUGAUUUUUCUUGAUUCUUAAUGCAACUUCCUUCAAUAGCAAUUAAAAAUGUGAAAUCAAUGCACAAGUUUUUUAUC
rnacentral:lncRNA from 1 species